UUUUAUGGAUAAUGAAAACCAUAAAAAUACGUGGAAUAAUUUUACUAAAUUUGUUUUAUGGG
rfam:Pelagibacteraceae bacterium BACL5 MAG-120820-bin39 contig00631.1_120820-bin39, whole genome shotgun sequence.